rnacentral:rRNA from 1 species
UACGUAGGGUGCGAGCGUUGUCCGGAAUUACUGGGCGUAAAGAGCUCGUAGGUGGUUUGUCGCGUUGUCCGUGAAAACUCACAACUCAAUUGUGGGCGUGCGGGCGAUACGGGCAGACUGGAGUACUGCAGGGGAGACUGGAAUUCCUGGUGUAGCGGUGAAAUGCGCAGAUAUCAGGAGGAACACCGGUGGCGAAGGCGGGUCUCUGGGCCGAUACUGACGCUGAGACGCGAAAGCGUGGGGAGCAAACAGG